rnacentral:rRNA from 1 species
CCUACGGGUGGCAGCAGUGAGGAAUAUUGGUCAAUGGGCGCGAGCCUGAACCAGCCAAGUAGCGUGAAGGAUGACUGCCCUACGGUUUGUAAACUUCUUUUAUAAAGGAAUAAAGUAGGGCACGUCUGCCUUUUUGUCUGUACUUUAUGAAUAAGGAUCGGCUAACUCCGUGCCAGCAGCCGCGGUAAUACGGAGGAUCCGAGCGUGUUCCGGAUUUAUUGCGUUUAAGGGGAGCGUAGAUGGGUUGUUAAGUAAGUUGUGAAAGUUGGCGGCUAAACCGUAAAAUUGCAAUUGAUACUGGCAGUCUUGAGUACAGUUGAGGUAGGCGGAAUUCGUGGUGUAGCGGUGAAAUGCUUAGAUAUCACGAAGAACUCCGAUUGCGAAGGCAGCUUACUAAACUGCCACUGACAUUGAUGCUCGAAAGUGUGGGUAUCAAACAGGAUUAGAUACCCCUGUAGUC